rnacentral:tRNA from 1 species
AGUAAAGUCAGCUAAAUAAGCUUUCGGGCCCAUACCCCGAAAAUGUUGGUUUUCAAUCCCUCCUUUACUA